GCGCACGGGUGAGUAACGCGUAUGUAACCUGCCAUAAGGUUCGGGAGAGCCGGUACGAAAGUAGGAUUAAUACCGGAUAUGCUCUUAGGAGUAAAGAUUCAUUGCCUUAUGAUGGGCCUGCGUUAGAUUAGCUUGUUGGUAGGGUAACGGGCCUACCAAUGCAACGAUCUAUAGCCGGGUUGAGAGACUGGCCGGCCACAUUGGGACUGAGACACGGUCCAGACUCCUACGGGAGGCAGCAGGGAAUAAUCUUCCGCAAUGGACGCAAGUCUGACGGAGCGACGCCGCGUGAACGAUGAAGGCCUUACGGGUUGUAAAGUUCUUUUAUAGAUGAAGAAUGUCAUGUGCAGGCAUGGCUGACGGUAAUCUAUGAAUAAGGUCCGGCUAACUACGUGCCAGCCAGCCGCGGUAAUACGUAGGGACCGAGCGUUGUUCGGAAUUAUUGGGCGUAAAGGGUACGUAGGCGGUCUAAUAAGUCAGAUGUGAAACCCACGGGCUCAGCCUGG
rnacentral:rRNA from 1 species